rnacentral:rRNA from 1 species
GACGAACGCUGGCGGCGUGCUUAACACAUGCAAGUCGAACGGAAAGGCCCUGCUUUUGUGGGGUGCUCGAGUGGCGAACGGGUGAGUAACACGUUAGUAACCUGCCCUUGACUUUGGGAUAACUUCAGGAAACUGGGGCUAAUACCGGAUAGGAGCUCCUGCUGCAUGGUGGGGGUUGGAAAGUUUCGGCGGUUGGGGAUGGACUCGCGGGUUAUCAGCUUGUUGGUGGGGUAGUGACUUACCAAGGCUUUGACGGGUAGCCGGCCGGAGGGGGUGACGGACCAGAUAGGGAGGGAGUGAGGCCCGGACCAGCCACGGGGGGGAGGAGGGGGGGAGGUAGCAAAAGGGGGGGAAGCAGGCGGGACGAAGCCCGGGGGCGGGAAGGAGGAAUGGGGGUGGAAACCCGAUUUCGCUCGGGGGGAAGGGUAAUGAAGGGAAAGGGGGAAGAAGCCCCGGCUAAAUUAGUG